rnacentral:tRNA from 1 species
GGACGCUUAGCUCAGCUGGUUCAGAGCAUCGCCCUUACAAGGCGGGGGUCAUAGGUUCGAAUCCUAUAGCGUCCACCC